rnacentral:rRNA from 1 species
CAGUAGCCACGGUAAUACGGAAGGUCCGGGCGUUAUCCGGAUUUAUUGGGUUUAAAGGGAGCGUAGGCCGCCCCUUAAGCGUGUUGUGAAAUGCGGGUGCUCAACAUCCGACUUGCAGCGCGAACUGGGGGGCUUGAGUGCGCCGAAAGUAGGCGGAAUUCGUGGUGUAGCGGUGAAAUGCUUAGAUAUCACGAAGAACUCCGAUUGCGAAGGCAGCUUACUGUAGCGCAACUGACGCUGAUGCUCGAAAGCGUGGGUAUCGAACAGGAUUAGAUACCCCGGUAGUCCUGUCUCUUAUACA